UAGGGAAUCUUCGGCAAUGGACGAAAGUCUGACCGAGCAACGCCGCGUGAGUGAAGAAGGUUUUCGGAUCGUAAAACUCUGUUGUUAGAGAAGAACAAGGACGUUAGUAACUGAACGUCCCCUGACGGUAUCUAACCAGAAAGCCACGGCUAACUACGUGCCAGCAGCCGCGGUAAUACGUCGGUGGCAAGCGUUGUCCGGAUUUAUUGGGCGUAAAGCGAGCGCAGGCGGUUUCUUAAGUCUGAUGUGAAAGCCCCCGGCUCAACCGGGGAGGGUCAUUGGAAACUGGGAGACUUGAGUGCAGAAGAGGAGAGUGGAAUUCCAUGUGUAGCGGUGAAAUGCGUAGAUAUAUGGAGGAACACCAGUGGCGAAGGCGGCUCUCUGGUCUGUAACUGACGCUGAGGCUCGAAAGCGUGGGGAGCAAACAGG
rnacentral:rRNA from 2 species